rnacentral:rRNA from 1 species
AUUGAACGCUGGCGGCAGGCCUAACACAUGCAAGUCGAGCGGAUGAAGGGAGCUUGCUCCUGGAUUCAGCGGCGGACGGGUGAGUAAUGCCUAGGAAUCUACCUGGUAGUGGGGGAUAACGUCCGGAAACGGGCGCUAAUACCGCAUACGUCCUGAGGGAGAAAGUGGGGGAUCUUCGGACCUCACGCUAUCAGAUGAGCCUAGGUCGGAUUAGCUAGUUGGUGGGGUAAAGGCCUACCAAGGCGACGAUCCGUAACUGGUCUGAGAGGAUGAUCAGUCACACUGGAACUGAGGCACGGUCCAGACUCCUACGGGAGGCAGCAGUGGGGAAUAUUGGACAAUGGGCGAAAGCCUGAUCCAGCCAUGCCGCGUGUGUGAAGAAGGUCUUCGGAUUGUAAAGCACUUUAAGUUGGGAGGAAGGGCAGUAAGUUAAUACCUUGCUGUUUUGACGUUACCAACAGAAUAAGCACCGGCUAACUUCGUG